rnacentral:other from 1 species
UAUAAGCUGCGCUGUACGUAAACCUAAUAAAGUUUUAACCUUUAAGCUGUAAUAGGGAGUUUUAUAUUGGAAUCGGAAUGUUAUGCCUUAUCUAUAUGAUCAGAGGACAACAGGAUGGUUUCUGCAAACACCCACUUUGAGGAGUGGUGGUUUAAAACUUUCUUAACGAGUUACGGCAAAGGCGGCUCUACA